rnacentral:rRNA from 1 species
UACGGGGGGGGCAAGCGUUGUUCGGAAUUACUGGGCGUAAAGGGCUCGUAGGCGGCCAACUAAGUCAGACGUGAAAUCCCUCGGCUUAACCGGGGAACUGCGUCUGAUACUGGAUGGCUUGAGAUUGGGAGAGGGAUGCGGAAUUCCAGGUGUAGCGGUGAAAUGCGUAGAUAUCUGGAGGAACACCGGUGGCGAAGGCGGCAUCCUGGACCGGCAUUGACGCUGAGGCGCGAAAGCUAGGGGAGCGAACGGG